ACACCCAACUUUGUCUCUUUGUUGUUCUCACCUGUGGGCUAUAACACGUGCUGUUCCUUCUGCAUGCCACCCUCUUCCCAAGGUAUCUACAUGGUUCAUUCCUUCUCCUCUUCCAACCUCAACCCAUAUAGCAACUGGAAAAAUCAUGUUCCAUGGGAUCAGGAGCUGAGCUCUACAACGUCAAGCCAGUGCACACACACAAGGGCACUUCAAGAAAUGUGUAGAGAAUGGAAUGAAAAAGUAAGCUGCUUUUUGUACAGAAGAUUGUUGACAUUCAUGCACAGGUCCUCAAAAUGUUCAUGGAGAACACAUAUUGUGAAAAAGCUACACAUGGAUUUCAAGUUUUUUUUUCCACCUGAAGUUAUUUUUCAGUUCCGUUUUCCUCCAAAUUUUGAAGAACCUUUGUAUAUGAGUCCAUCAAUAGAUU